AGUGAACGCUGGCGGCGUGCUUAACACAUGCAAGUCGAACGAGAACGGAUUAUAGCUUGCUAUAAUUGUCAGCUAAGUGGCGCACGGGUGAGUAAUGUAUAGGUAAUAUGCCUCUUACUAAGGGAUAACAAAUGGAAGCGUUUGCUAAUACCUUAUACUCCUUAUUAACAUAAGUUAAUAGGGAAAGAUUUAUUGGUAAGAGAUUAGCCUGUAUUGUAUCAGUUAGUUGGUGGGGUAAUGGCUUACCAAGACUAUGACACAUAACUGGUUUGAGAGGAUGAUCAGUCACACUGGAACUGAGACACGGUCCAGACUCCUACGGGAGGCAGCAGUGGGGAAUAUUGCACAAUGGACGAAAGUCUGAUGCAGCAACGCCGCGUGGAGGAUGACACAUUUCGGUGCGUAAACUCCUUUUAUAUGAGAAGAUAAUGACGGUAUUAUAUGAAUAAGCACCGGCUAACUCCGUGCCAGCCGCCGCCGUAAGAC
rnacentral:rRNA from 1 species